rnacentral:lncRNA from 1 species
AUGCAACAUCUCUGGUUAUUCAAGAAACACAGAAGUCCGAAAGCAAAAUCAAUUAGUGCUGACAUGAAACAACACGCACGGAAGGGAAUCAGGGAGUCAAAAAACUUCCUAAGCAUCUGUACACAAAUAAUAACAGUGCAUCUCUGCCCUGAGUAGGAGCCCCUUGAAGUGGCUGCUUAUACUCGAAGGCUGUUUAAAAUGAUCAUUGUGUAAAACAUGGUAUUUGAUCCACCUUAAUGAAACUAUGCA